rnacentral:rRNA from 1 species
AUAACGCGUGAGAACAUGCCUUUAGAUUGGGGACAACAGUUGGAAACGACUGCUAAUACCGAAUGUGCCUUAGGGUGAAAGAUUUAUUGUCUAAAGAUUGGCUCGCGUCAGAUUAGCUAGUUGGAGUGGUAACGGCACACCAAGGCGACGAUCUGUACUUGGUCUGAGAGGAUGACCAGGCACACUGGAACUGAGACACGGUCCAGACUCCUACGGGAGGCAGCAGUGGGGAAUUUUCCGCAAUGGGCGAAAGCCUGACGGAGCAAUACCGCGUGAGGGAGGACGGCUUUUGGGUUGUAAACCUCUUUUAUCAGGGAAGAAUCGAUGACGGUACCUGAUGAAUCAGCAUCGGCUAACUCCGUGCCAGCAGCCGCGGUAAUACGGAGGAUGCAAGCGUUAUCCGGAAUUAUUGGGCGUAAAGCGUCCGUAGGUGGUUUAUCAAGUCUGCUGUCAAAGCGUGCGGCUUAACCGCAUAAGGGCAGUGGAAACUGAUGAACUAGAGUGCGAUAGGGGUAACAGGAAUUCCCAGUGUAGCGGUGAAAUGCGUAGAUAUUGGGAAGAACACCAGCGGCGAAAGCGUGUUACUGGGUCUGCACUGACACUGAGGGACGAAAGCUAGGGGAGCGAAAGGGAUUAGAUACCCUGUUCUCACGCUUAUC